ensembl:rRNA 5S_rRNA 5S ribosomal RNA
GCUUACGGCCACACCGGCCUGAGUACGCCUGAUCUCGUCCGAUCUCGGAAGCUAAGCAGGGUCGGGCCUGGUUAGUACUUGGAUGUGAGACCGCCUGGGAAUACCAGGUGCUGUAAGCU